rnacentral:tRNA from 1 species
CCCCUAUUUCUCAUAAGUACUAGUAUACGAUUUCAUAUAUAUAUAUAUUUUUUUUUUUUUUAAUUUUAAUGAAAUUAACAAU